GAUGAACGCUGGCGGCGUGCCUAAUACAUGCAAGUCGAGCGAAGCGGGGACGGGUGAGAAUAACGUGUAAAACAUCCUAUUAGACUGGGAUAACUUCGUUGGACAGGAACUAUACCGCAAACGUAUAGAUUGAUCCACGCUGCAUUAUCUAGUUGGUAAGGUAACGGCUUACCAAGGCAACGAUGCAUAGCCGACCUGAGAGGGGGAUCGGCCACACUGGAACUGAGACACGGUCCAGACUCCUACGGGAGGCAGCAGUAGGGAAUCUUCCGCAAUGGGCGAAAGCCUGACGGAGCAACACCGCGUGAGUGAUGAAGGUCUUCGGAUCGUAAAACUCUGUUAUUAGGGAAGCGGUACCUAAUCAGAAAGCCACGGCUAACUACGGGCCAGCAGCCGCGGUAAUAC
rnacentral:rRNA from 1 species